rnacentral:lncRNA from 1 species
CCCGGCCCACACCCCCACCCGGGCCCGCGCAGGCCGCGCCGCUCGGCCGGCUCGGGCCCCGGCUGGACCCCCCGCCCGCCUGCCGCCGCCGCCCGUGGGCGCCCCCAGGUCCUGCGGCCCCCAGCCCCCGCCACCCCGGCGCCAGCCCCUCUCACCCUUUCAUUCUCUGCCCGGGGCCUGACGCGGGCCGGCGGAUCCCCGGCCUCACGUAAGCGCGCUCGCCGCCCGCCCUGCCUGCGCGGCCCUGCCCGCCGCCCUACGGGAGCCCGGGGAUGUGGGCCGGGCCUGGGGCCGCCUCUGCUUACCUUUCAGCUGCUUUUUUUUUUUCUCCUUCCCCCCUUUUCCCUCGGCCGGGCUGACAGAUCAGAGUGAGAGGCGCUGGCAAUGGACUAGGAAGCUCGGCUGCCGCUGCUACUGCUCCCCCCUGGGCUCCGGCGAGAGCCUUUCCCUGUCAAGCAAGAGGGGUGAGGAUCAUAUUUUUAUUUUGGAAACUAAAAAGUGCUCCCAGGGUCGGUGAUUAUUAAGGGGAAAUCCCUGAAUAUACUCUCCAGCCAAGAAGGCA